rnacentral:rRNA from 1 species
CGAUAUCGACGAGUUUGAUAUGGCUCAGAUUGAACGCUGGCGGCAUGCCUAACACAUGCAAGUCGAACGAAGGCUUCGGCCUUAGUGGCGCACGGGUGCGUAACGCGUGGGAACCUGCCCCUCGGUUCGGAAUAACAGUUAGAAAUGACUGCUAAUACCGGAUGAUGACUUCGGUCCAAAGAUUUAUCGCCGAGGGAUGGGCCCGCGUAGGAUUAGCUAGUUGGUGGGGGUAAAGGCCUACCAAGGCGACGAUCCUUAGCUGGUCUGAGAGGAUGAUCAGCCACACUGGGACUGAGACACGGCCCAGACUCCUACGGGAGGCAGCAGUGGGGAAUAUUGGACAAUGGGCGAAAGCCUGAUCCAGCAAUGCCGCGUGAGUGAUGAAGGCCUUAGGGUUGUAAAGACUCUUUUACCUAGGGAUGAUAAUGACAGUACCUGGAGAAUAGGCUCCGGCUAACUCCGUG